UACAGAGGUGGCAAGCGUUGUUCGGAAUUACUGGGCGUAAAGGGCGCGUAGGCGGCCUUCUAAGUCAGACGUGAAAUCCCCCGGCUUAACCUGGGAACUGCGUCUGAUACUGGGAGGCUUGAGUAUGGGAGAGGGAUGUAGGAUUCCAGGUGUAGCGGUGAAAUGCGUAGAUAUCUGGAGGAAUACCGGUGGCGAAGGCGGCAUCCUGGACCAUUACUGACGCUGAGGCGCGAAAGCUAGGGGAGCAAACGGG
rnacentral:rRNA from 1 species